rnacentral:miRNA from 1 species
CAUAUAUAUAUGCGUGUGUAUGUGUGUGUAUACAUAUAUAUGUAUAUGUAUGCAUACACACACACACACACACACACACACACACACACACAC